rnacentral:rRNA from 1 species
GACGAACGCUGGCGGCGUGCUUAACACAUGCAAGUCGAACGAUGAACCGGAGCUUGCUCCGGGGAUUAGUGGCGAACGGGUGAGUAACACGUGGGCAACCUGCCCCAGACACCGGGAUAACCUUCCGAAAGGAUGGCUAAUACCGGAUACGACCACUUCGGGCAUCCGACGGUGGUGGAAAGGAUUCUGGUCUGGGAUGGGCCCGCGGCCUAUCAGCUAGUUGGUGGGGUAAUGGCCUACCAAGGCGACGACGGGUAGCCGGCCUGAGAGGGCGACCGGCCACACUGGGACUGAGACACGGCCCAGACUCCUACGGGAGGCAGCAGUGGGGAAUAUUGCGCAAUGGGCGAAAGCCUGACGCAGCGACGCCGCGUGAGGGACGAAGGUCUUCGGAUUGUAAACCUCUUUCAGCAGGGACGAAGCGAAAGUGACUGUACCUGCAGAAGAAGCACCGGCUAACUACGUGCCAGCAGCCGCGGUAAAAC